GUCCUCCCACUCCUGGAGCUCCGAAAUGGCUGUCUCUACAUCCUUAAGCCUUCUAAAGAUGUUGCCCACCUCGAUCUUAUUCCACUACCAUAGCCAUCUCCUCAUCAGUUCAAGCCUUCAUGUCACUCGAUAUCUAGCAUCACCAUGCACCGACAAUCUUCAGACCUCCCCUACAAUAUCUCAAGAUUAGGGGUAGGAAAGCCAAAACUUCUCAAACUAGAAAGGACUCCAAUACGAGAUGACAGUGUCUGUAGUGAAGAAGGUUGGACCAUGGUCAGAGGCAAUCCUC
rnacentral:lncRNA from 1 species